CAAGAAUUCGAAUAGCUACACGAAUUGUAUUUUAUUCUGUACAGAUGAAAGAGAAGGCUGAAACACACUCGCUAGCUAGGACUCACGCAGCAAGCUCACACGAUGUCCAAGAAAUCCACUCUCUAACUCUGUGGUCGCCUUUCUUUCUAGCGUUUUCUUCUAUUUUUUAUUUGUUCUCUUCUCCAUGCGGAAUCAUGGAUCCUCUUUUCGUUGAUCAGUACACUAUUAAGGCCCGUUUUGGUAGGGCUCUUUCUCUGCUAGCUCCAGCUCUGGCUCUGGCUCCUCUAAGAAAACAACACCCUCUUUAUUUUCAGGAAG
rnacentral:misc_RNA from 1 species